UGAAGUUCAAGGGGCUGGAGAGCAUGAAUAAUUCAGUAUCCUGGGGAAGGGGGUAGUGGGUAGAGAGGGAGCUGAAAAGGCAACACGGGACAAUUCAUAAAAGGACUUAUGAGCUAAUACUCCUCAGGAACUACAGCAGGAACACACCAGAAAGCCAAGAUAAUCCACAGACCCUUUGAAGGAACUGGAUCACCACGGCAGGCUCCCUGAGAUGCCAAAAAAACUUUGCUGGCAAGAUGGCCGAAUAGGAACAGCUCUGGUCUGUAGUUCCCAGCGAGAUCGACACAGAAGGCAGGUGAUUUCUGCAUUUCCA